rnacentral:lncRNA from 1 species
AAUUACCUCUUCUAACCCCUUCUCUGCCAUAGGAAAUGAUGAUUUAACCCAGACUUCACAAAAUGCGACCACUUGCUUACUCCAUUUCAGCAUCCUAAACCACAUCGCAACAAUUUCAUAAAAUACGAAUACUGAAAUAUUAAACUUGCAAACACGAGUAACAUUCAUUACGAGUGAAAAUUAAGAGUAAUAAAUUGGAAUUAACCAUAAACCUCUUUAACGAUUUACUAAACCAAUGUUACCAGGAGAAAGUAAUUAUGCGCAACUGAAAUUAGGUAUAGCACACCAGAUUUUUUGUUCUUGAAAAAGGAAACAGAGAAGGGAAGAUGGAGAAAAUUACAAUAAAUAUUUCCUAGAUUCCUUUUUAAAUUAGUCUUUUCUGAAAGGAGGAGCACAUUUUAUAAAGUAUGGGUAUCUACCUUAACUUACAGCUAG